GCUAUUCCUUUACGCAUCC
rnacentral:snRNA from 1 species